AUGCACGGGGGAGAAUUCCACCUCGCGUGCACGCCAGAGCUUCAGCGCAAACAGGACCCAGCCACGCUGACCCCUACCCCGGGCACGUGGAUUUUGGGUGGGUGGGCGACUCUGGGACCCGGGCGACUCAAUCCCGUCCUUUCUGUCUCCGCAGGGCUGCGGGCGGCCGUGCAACUGGUCGAGUCCGGAGGGGGCCUCCAGACACCCGGGGGGUCCCUGCGCCUCCUCUGCAAGGGCUCGGGGUACACCUUCAGCAGCUUCUGGAUGCAGUGGGUGCGACAGGCGCCCGGGAAGGGGCUCGAGUGGGUCGCAGGUAUUAGCAGCAGCGGUAGAUACACCUGGUACGCGCCGUCGGUCCAAGGACGCUUCACCGUCUCGAAGGACGACUCCCAGAGCACGCUCACGCUGCAGAUGAACAGCCUCAGGGCCGACGACACGGCCACCUACUACUGCGCGAAAGGAGAUGAUAAUUAUGCUGGUGGCACCAACCCUGGCGCCCAGCCCCGACAUCCCUGCGCUCUGUCCCCAAAUCCUGAAAUGUUCCCCAAACUCCCAACUCGUUCCUGGUCCCCUGCACCCAACCCGGACCCUUGUUCUGACUUUUGA